rnacentral:misc_RNA from 1 species
CUCAGCACAAUCUCCUCGUGCUGCCGCUUACCCAACUCCACCACCUCACUCGGACCGCCUUCAGCCGACACCGACUCGAAUUGCGCCGCCUCAGCUUCCAUCGCCGCCUCGCCCUCCGCCCACCUCGCUCGCACCGUCGCUCGCACCUCCUCAAGCCGUUUGUCGUCCUUGAAGAUGUCUUCAAGGGUCAACUUGGCGGAUCCGAGCAGUGGUCCGCAAAGGCGCCCCUCGCAUCGGUACUCCUGCCAGGCGUCGUAGAGAGCUCCGAAAUGCAUCGUCGGCAACAAGCUUCAGAACGCCCUCCGCCUUAUCCUGCGCAUCCUUCCCCGUUCCGCCGGCGGCAAGAAGCCUUUCGCGGUCGUCGAUCAACAAGUCUUGAACAUCGACGUCUCGCCGUUGCGCUUCUUGAACAGAUCGCCAACGACGAGGUUGAUCUGUCCGACCCCGAGUCCGUGCACACUCCGACGACGACGACGCCGUACUUCGCCUGAACAGCCUCGAGAUGCUUGACGAGCAAGGCGUACGCUUCGGCUCCGCCCUUCUUCUCGCUUGAGGUGUCUUCGACGGCGACGGUGUACGACUGGAAGAGAUCAAGCGUCGCCAUCUUUCCCCUGACGUUCUUUCCGACCGCCACGUUCAACUCGUCGACCGCUCGACGCAAGAGCGUGCCGGUGAGCGUGUUGCGCGUCGGGAGCUUUGCGCCGAUCCAUUUCGCGACCCAUCGUCGAACCAGCGGAUGAUCCACCCAGGAGAACGGCGUGUUGGUUCCCACGACGACUUCCAGGUGAUUCUCCGGUCGGGCAAGUCGGCUUUCGAGGGUUUGACGGAGGACAACGACUGGGUCUCCUUGCACUCGGCGACGUGCGGCGCUAGGUUCUCCUUCGGACGACCGGGAGAUGAGUGCUCCGACGGACCUGUCGCCUUUCGCCUCCUGGCAUCUUCGCUCGACAGCAGCGACGAAGCCCCCC